GACGAACGCUGGCGGCGUGCCUAACACAUGCAAGUCGAGCGGAGGCAUUGAAAUAUUAUGCCUUAGCGGCGGACGGGUGAGUAACGCGUGGGCAACCUGCCCUUUACUGGGGGAUAACACGGAGAAAUUCGUGCUAAUACCGCAUAACAUACAUCAGCUGCAUGGCAGAUGUAUCAAAGGAGUAAUCCGGUAAAGGAUGGGCCCGCGUCUGAUUAGCUAGUUGGUGAGGUAACGGCUCACCAAGGCGACGAUCAGUAGCCGACCUGAGAGGGUGAUCGGCCACACUGGAACUGAGACACGGUCCAGACUCCUACGGGAGGCAGCAGUGGGGAAUAUUGCGCAAUGGGGGAAACCCUGACGCAGCAACGCCGCGUGGAGGAAGAAGGUCUUCGGAUUGUAAACUCCUGUCUUUGGGGACGAAUAAUGACGGUACCCAAGGAGGAAGCCACGGCUAACUACGUGCCAGCAGCCGCGGUAAUACGUAGGUGGCAAGCGUUGUCCGGAAUUAUUGGGCGUAAAGGGCGCGUAGGCGGUACCUUAAGUCAGAUGUGAAAACCCGGGGCUUAACUUCGGAGGUGCAUUUGAAACUGGGGAACUAGAGUGCAGGAGAGGUAAGUGGAACUCCUAGUGUAGCGGUGAAAUGCGUAGAUAUUAGGAGGAACACCAGUGGCGAAGGCGACUUACUGGACUGUAACUGACGCUGAGGCGCGAAAGCGUGGGGAGCAAACAGGAUUAGAUACCCUGGUAGUCCACGCUGUAAACGAUGGAUACUAGGUGUGGGAGGUAUCGACCCCUUCCGUGCCGCAGUAAACGCAAUAAGUAUCCCGCCUGGGGAGUACGGCCGCAAGGUUG
rnacentral:rRNA from 1 species